rnacentral:lncRNA from 1 species
UAAAAAUUAAAAUAUAUAUAUAUACUCACAUUGAGAUAUAUCUCACUAGCUUCUUCUAUAUCACUUUCUAAUGUCUGUAAUGAUAUGUAUAUGUAAAUACAUAGAAAUGAUGAAAUAAUUGUCUCCUUUUUAAAGGAAAUUAACAUAGUGAGAUAUACGUCUAGGUAAAAGAAGUAAUCUAUGCCAAACAUUUAAUUUAUAAAUUUUUAAGAAAAAAAAUAUCUUUAUUUCAUUAGUUUUAAAUUGCAUUUUUCUCAUGUUUAAACAAUAUAUUUUGAUUAUGAUUAUUGUAAUAUUAAGAAUUAUAUUUAUGAGAGAUAUGCGUUAUGCUUACAUCUUUUUGUCCACACGCACCAUUGCUUGCGCUGCUUUUACAAGCAGCACUAUGUUCCACCUCCAUUGCUUCCUGUUCAUUAGAUGAUGUUAAAUCAAUAACACGAUUCUAAAAAGAAAAAGAAAAUAAAUAAACAGUUAAGAUAAUGUUUACGGUGAGGCGUCCGUUUGGCUGUGCGGGAUGUGUUAAGUUCGCAGUCACGUCCGGUCAGAUUGGUGACGUUAAAUUCGAUGCCUCGUGUAAAGAAAGUGCCACGCUCUUUGCACGUUAAGAACUCUUGCAACAACUCUUUGAGGGGUCCGUAGGUGGCCUGUUGCAAGGCAAAAUUUCUGUCCCUGUCCAAUAUACCCUCAUUUUCCAGUGCCAGUCCAAAUUUCCCCGACCAUCAUCCCAGAUAGCCUCUAAUAUUUCAAGACCUACCUAUAGUAUUUAUUGUGAACUUGAAAAAAAGUUUUUCUUUCUUUCUCUUUGUAAAUUCUUGAUAUUAUUUUCUUUCUUUUCUCCGUAGGUGGCCUGUUGCAAGGCAAAAUUUCUGUCCCUAUCCAAUAUACCCUCAUUUUCCAGUGCCAGUCCAAAUUUCCCCGACCAUCAUCC